GUAGAUAUUCUACCAUCUUAACAUGGCAUGGAAUUUGUGCUGGGCAACUUCUCUUGGUGAAAAGAUGAAGUCUAGUACUGAGAUGCGGAAAUUAUUAUCUGAACCUGGUGUCCCUACCCUGGAUCAGGUACUGUAUUUUUGUCCUGUUUAUGACAACCAAAAUUCUUCAAUUUUCUUCAGUACCUUUGAAAUCAAGUUGAAUUGUUAUACAGACACGACCACUUUUCUUAGUUGUUAGAUUUACUUCAUUCAUGGAAACUGCAUCAUUUGAUUGUGUGAGCAUUUGCCUCCGUACCAAUAUAGAAUGGAGUUUGGGGAAAUUUUGUCAAACACAUUUGUUUGCAAAGGUCGGACCAACACUCAAUCCACCUUUUCUCAGGACCUUAGAUUGAUGGUAAUAGAGUUGGCAAUGCCUCUUUCUGUAUGACUAAGUUUUUAGUGUUUGUCAUAGCAUCAUUAGGCACAUGAGGUAGUGGAGAGCAACUAUUUUAUGUCAGCUGUGGAAGAAACAACUGAGAAAUGGAAACAAACACAAAAGUAAGAACUGUCAUGGCUAAAUACGGAUUGGAGCUGCAUACUGAAAUGAGUACAACUACAUAUGAAUUUGUUAGAACCAUUCAUAGCACUCAAAAGAGUUCUUCAAAUAUUAAAGUGCACGGAUUGUACAAUGCAGCAUCUUUUGGAUUCAGCGUCUACUCUUCGCAAGGGCUCUAGAUUUUCUCAGGCUGCUGCUGCUUUGCACGAGUUCAAGUUCCUCUGUGCUGGAGCAAGAGAACAAAAUUGUGCCCAGUAUUGGCUUGGAAGGGUACAAACUUUCUCUUUAACUGUUGGUACAUUAGCAGGAAUAAUGGAACUCCUCUCAGCUUUUGUACCAUAGUCUAAGACUCUAAGCUUGAAGAGGCUAAGCUUUUGCAGGCGCAAGGUCAGCAUGAGAUGGCUAUCAACCUUGCAAAGUACAUUUCUCAAAAUCACCAGUCCAGUGAAGUAAUCUCGGAUGUGUAUCGUUUAGUUGGGAAGUGGCUUGCAGAAUCGCGAUCUAGCAAGUUAGUUAUACAUCACAUAUAUGAGAAAGAAGUAUAUAUGGACGUUGAUGCCUUUUGAUGUAUAAUAUAUAAUCAUUUUCCCUCACUUCAUGAAUGUGAUGAUC